rnacentral:rRNA from 1 species
UACGGAGGGGGCUAGCGUUGUUCGGAAUUACUGGGCGUAAAGCGCGCGUAGGCGGACCUGCAAGUCGGGGGGUGAAAGCCCGAGGCUCAACCUCGGAACUGCCUUCGAUACUGCGGGUCUCGAGUCCGGGAGAGGUGAGUGGAAUUCCUAGUGUAGAGGUGAAAUUCGUAGAUAUUAGGAAGAAACACCAGUGGCGGAAGGCGGCUCACUGGCCCGGUUACUGACGCUGAGGCGCGAAAAGCGUGGGGGAGCAAACAGG